UACGUAGGGUGCGAGCGUUGUCCGGAAUUAUUGGGCGUAAAGGGCUCGUAGGCGGUUUGUCGCGUCGGGAGUGAAAACCCAGGGCUUAACCCUGGGCUGGCUUCCGAUACGGGCAGACUAGAGGUAUGCAGGGGAGAGCGGAAUUCCUGGUGUAGCGGUGAAAUGCGCAGAUAUCAGGAGGAACACCGGUGGCGAAGGCGGUUCUCUGGGCAUUGCCUGACGCUGAGGAGCGAAAGUGUGGGGAGCGAACAGG
rnacentral:rRNA from 1 species